AGGGUUCGAUUCUGGCUCAGGAUGAACGCUGGCGGCGUGCUUAACACAUGCAAGUCGAACGGACGAUGAUGAGAAGCUUGCUUUUUGUCAAAGUUAGUGGCGGACGGGUGAGUAACGCGUGAGCAACCUACCUUUUCAGUGGGGGGAUAACGUCUGGAAACAGACGCUAAUACCGCAUAAGAUGAUAAUAUCGCAUGGUAAAGUCAUCAAAGGAGCAAUCCGCUGAGAGAUGGGCUCGCGUCCGAUUAGAUAGUUGGUAGGGUAAAGGCCUACCAAGUCAACGAUCGGUAGCCGGACUGAGAGGUUGAACGGCCACAUUGGGACUGAGACACGGCCCAGACUCCUACGGGAGGCAGCAGUGGGGAAUAUUGCACAAUGGGCGAAAGCCUGAAUGCAGCAACGCCGCGUGAGGGAAGACGGUUUUCGGAUUGUAAACCUCUGUCUUCGGUGACGAAACAAAUGACGGUAGCCGAGGAGGAAGCCACGGCUAACUACGUGCCAGCAGCUGC
rnacentral:rRNA from 1 species